GAAGAAGAAGAAGAAGAAGUAGAAGAAGAAAAAGAAGAAGAAGAGUAGGAGGAAGAGGAGGAGAGACAAAGAAAAUUACUACUACUACUACUACUACUACUACAACUACUACUACUACAAUUUCACGCCCACUACUCAGGAAAGGUGUUGAGAGUAAAGUCUGUAGCAGCGUGAGUGUACCUGAGGCUUCACGUUAAGUCCCCGCCUCCUCUGGUUUCUCAUUGGUGGACAUCGUGACGCAGACUCAUAUACGCCUCUCCGUCUGUCUGUCUCCCCCGCCCACAUACACGCUCAUACACACACACACACACACACACACACACGAGCGAUUCUAUAAUAACGCACACGCACACUGGAAUGC